GAAUUAUUAAUAAAUUUAUUUUAAUUUAUAUAUUUAUAAUUAGUUGUUUGUUAAAAAUAAUUUAAUUUUUUUUAUUAAUUUAGAUAAAAUUUUUUUUUAUUAUAGUUUAAUAGUAUAGAGAUAGAAUAUUGAAAUAAGUAUUGAAAAGUUAAAUUUUUAAAAGAAAAUUUUAAUUAUUGUACCUUGUGUAUCAGGGUUUAUUAAAUAAUAAUUAUAAAAAUUAAUUUUCUCGAAUUUAAAAGAGCUAAAAAAUUAUAAAUUUUAUUGUGAAAUAAAUAUUUAAAAUAAUUUUUUAGUAAUGAAACGUUAUUCGUUUUUAAAUUUAUCUAGUUUUUUAAGAAAUGAAUUUAAUUCAGUUAUUUUUUUUUAUUAAGAUAAUUGAUUAUUAAAAUAAAAAAAAUAAUUAAUAUUUUAAGGGAUAAGCUUUAAAAUAAAAUAUAAUAAAUUAGAUUUUAAAUAUUUAAAAUUUAUAGGAAUGGAAGUUUUUAUUUUAUAAUAGUGUGUUAUAACAAAUUUUAUAAUAAUUAUAAUUUUUAUAUAAUUUUUAAUUUUUUAUUAAAAUUAUUAAUUUAAUAAUAAAAUUAAUGUAAUAAUGAUAAAAUUAGUAUAAUUUAAUGUAUAUUAGAAUUAAAGAUUAAAGUUUAAAUUAAGGAACUCGGCAAAUCUUUUUUUCGCCUGUUUAUUAAAAACAUGUCUUUUUGAUUAUAAUUUAAAGUCUGACCUGCUCUAUGAUAUAAUUUUAUUAAAUGGCCGCGAUAAUUUGAUCGUGCAAAGGUAGCAUAAUAAUUAGUUUUUUAAUUGGGAACUGGAAUGAAAGGUCGAACGAAAAAAAAUCUGUCUCAAUUUAAUUUUAAUUAGAAUUUUAUUUUUAAGUAAAAAAGCUUAAAUUAAUUUAAAAGACGAGAAGACCCUAUAGAGUUUUAUAUUUAUGUUAUUUUUAUGAUUUUUAGAAAUUUAUUUAUAAAUAUAUUAAUAAAUAUUUGAUUGGGGCGAUUGAAAAAUUUAAUAAACUUUUUUUAUAGUUUUAAACAUUGAUAUAUGAUUUUUUGAUCCAUUAUUUAUGAUUAAAAGAUUAAAUUACCUUAGGGAUAACAGCGUAAUUUUUUUUGAGAGUUCUUAUCGAAAAAAAAGUUUGCGACCUCGAUGUUGGAUUAAAAUUUACUUUUGGUGUAGCAGCUAAAAUAGUUAGGUCUGUUCGACCUUUAAAAUUUUACAUGAUCUGAGUUUAAACCGGCGUGAGCCAGGUUGGUUUCUAUCUUUAAAUAAAUUUAAAUAUUUUAGUACGAAAGGAUUAAAUAUUUAUAAUAAUUAUUAAUUUAAGAAUAUUAAUAAAUUUAAAAUUACUUUGGCAGAAUAGUGUUU
rnacentral:rRNA from 1 species